UACAGAGGGGGCAAGCGUUGUUCGGAAUUACUGGGCGUAAAGGGCGCGUAGGCGGUCAGCACAAGUCAGUUGUGAAAUCUCCGGGCUUAACUCGGAAAGGUCAACUGAUACUGUGCGACUAGAGUGCGGAAGGGGCAACUGGAAUUCUCGGUGUAGCGGUGAAAUGCGUAGAUAUCGAGAGGAACACCUGCGGCGAAGGCGGUUGCCUGGAGCUUUGCUGACGCUGAGGCGCGAAAGCGUGGGGAGCGAUCCGG
rnacentral:rRNA from 1 species